UGAGCAAUCUGCCCUUCUCUUCGGAAUAAGCGUGGGAAACCGCGUCUAAUGCCGAAUACGACCUCCUUUCGCAUGAUCGGAGGUGGAAAGCUCCGGCGGAGAAGGAUGAGCUCGCGGCCUAUCAGCUAGUUGGUGUGGGUAAUGGCCCACCAAGGCGACGACGGGUAGCCGGCCUGAGAGGGUGACCCGGCCACACGUGGGACUGAGACACCGGCCCAGACCUCCGUACGGGAGGNAGCG
rnacentral:rRNA from 1 species